GAAUGAGCUGGAAAGAGCCAUGGAUAUGGAGGCCAAAGACCAGCUGGCUAGAGAGAGGUUUUUGAUCUCUUCACAGGCUAUUAAGGGUCGAGAGUGCCCCAUGAUGUUUAUCCUAGCAAAACAGGCUCUUAUGGUGAGAGUGAACUUGAACGUCUCUAUUCCAGCACCACUCCCAUCCACUUCCCCUUGGAGAUAAAUCAGAAUAAAGACUAGCAGCUUUGGAGUCAGCCCUGGA